CCUACGGGAGGCAGCAGUGAGGAAUAUUGGUCAAUGGGCGCGAGCCUGAACCAGCCAAGUAGCGUGAAGGAUGACUGCCCUACGGGUUGUAAACUUCUUUUAUGAAGGAAUAAAGUGAGGCACGUGUGCCUUAUUGUAUGUACUUUAUGAAUAAGGAUCGGCUAACUCCGUGCCAGCAGCCGCGGUAAUACGUAGGAUCCGAGCGUUAUCCGGAUUUGUUGGGUUUAAAGGGAGCGUAGAUGGGUUGUUAAGUCAGUUGUGAAAGUGUGCGGCUCAACCGUAAAAUUGCAAUUGAUACUGGCAGGCUUGAGUACAGUUGAGGUAGGCGGAAUUCGUGGUGUAGCGGUGAAAUGCUUAGAUAUCACGAAGAACACCGAUUGCGAAGGCAGCUUACUAAACUGCCACUGACAUUGAUGCUCGAAAGUGUGGGUAUCAAACAGGAUUAGAUACCCGGGUAGUC
rnacentral:rRNA from 1 species